UGCCAGGGUGGAUGAGGAU
rnacentral:misc_RNA from 1 species